rnacentral:lncRNA from 1 species
UUCCUCACAAUAUUCAACUAAUCGUAGGCUUUAAAACAUAGUGUUAAGCUUAUCGUUUUCCUUUUCCACUUUGAGUCCUUCAUGUACCCAUGGGUUUAUUGGCUUACAUGUUAUCAAUUUUCCUCCAAUCAAGCCAAUCUUUGCUACCACAAGACAUUUCUCUAAGUCACUAACUCAUUUUCAAAGACUACACAAGCCAAAAACAAGAAUUCUUACUGUUCUUUGCUUGAAUCACCAAAACCAAGCUUUUUCUUCCUUUCUCUCUUUUUCU